UACGAAGGGGGCUAGCGUUGUUCGGAUUUACUGGGCGUAAAGCGCACGUAGGCGGAUCGUUAAGUCGGGGGUGAAAUCCUGGAGCUCAACUCCAGAACUGCCUUCGAUACUGCGAUCUUGAGUCCGGAAGAGGUGAGUGGAACUCCUAGUGUAGAGGUGGAAUUCGUAGAUAUUAGGAAGAACACCAGUGGCGAAGGCGGCUCACUGGUCCGGUACUGACGCUGAGGUGCGAAAGCGUGGGAAGCAAACAGG
rnacentral:rRNA from 1 species